AGGCGGGGGGAGCAAAGACUUUCGCCCCCCGCCCGCCUUCAGAAGAGGUCCAGGACCUCUUCUGAAGGCUGGCGGGGGCGAAGUCUCUGCUCCCCGCCU